UACGGAGGGUGCAAGCGUUAUCCGGAUUCACUGGGUUUAAAGGGUGCGUAGGUGGGUUGGUAAGUCAGUGGUGAAAUCUCCAGGCUUAACUUGGAAACUGCCAUUGAUACUAUCAAUCUUGAAUACCGUGGAGGUCAGCGGAAUAUGUCAUGUAGCGGUGAAAUGCUUAGAUAUGACAUAGAACACCAAUUGCGAAGGCAGCAGGCCUACACGAAUAUUGACACUGAUGCACGAAAGACGUGGGGAUCAAACAGGA
rnacentral:rRNA from 1 species